rnacentral:rRNA from 1 species
AUGGCAGCAAAAUGUAAAUACCGUGCCCCCACCGGGGUAUUUUGGUCAUUCUGCGUACAGGCGUAUAAAAACCAACACCUCCCGUGGACAGCUCCUCCCGCACUCGUGCAGCAUCCCGAUCUUUUUCCUCGCGUAGCUCCCUCUCCUUCCCAUCCCAACCCUAGCCGCCGCUACCUAGCAGGCCCUGCGGCCGCCGCCGCGCUACCCUCCUUUCCUCCCCGUUCCUCUCCAGCCGCCGAGCUCGCCGCCACCGCUGCACUCCGGCCAGAUCCGCUCCUCACGGCUGCGAGCACUCGCGCGCGACCCCUCCCCGUGGCUAGGGUUUCGGCCGCCUCCAACUCCGGCGAGCCACCAUCCUCCCAUGGACGAGGACGACCACCACGGCCCGCACAUGGUCGAGCUCGCCGUCGUCUGCUCCGGUGCGGUGCUGGGCCAACGACCUCCGCUUCUCUUCUCCAUGGACAAACUUCAAAAGGCAACAGCAAGCCAUAUCAAGGGAGGGGAUUGAAGUCACCCCACUUCAAAUCCAUGGGCGCCAUCCACAAGAACCGGACAUCUUGGCACUGUUGUUGGCGGAGGGCGACGUAG